AUAGCAUUGAAAUUUCAUUAUGCUUUACUCCCAAUCAGUAAUUUGUGUUAGCAAUCACUAACAAGGUAAUUUUAGGUUUCUAUAUCUUUGGUUUCUAAGUGAUCUUAUUUUUCUACUUCAUUUUCAUUCUUGAGCCUUUUCAGUUCUUGCAUCUUGAUGCUUUAUUUAUAAUAUAUUUGUUGAUAAAUUCCUGGUUGGAAUUUGUCCCAGUGUUUCUCUGUGUAAGAAUUACCCAAAACCAAAACACAAAAAAAAUUCGGUGACAUUUAUUCAUUGGUUGCAAACAGGACUGUUGGAGGACCUUGGUGCAGCGCCAACAGGAGCAAUUGUGCUUCUUCAUGCAUGUGCUCAUAACCCCACUGGUGUUGAUCCAACUCUUGAGCAGUGGGAGCAGAUCAGACAGUUGAUGAGAUCAAAAGGGUUGUUACCUUUUUUUGACAGUGCUUAUCAGGUAACAGACAGACCUGUGAACAAAACAGGUUGUGAUUGUGAUGGAAUACCUGAAAAUUCAGAGAAUAAUGAAAUAUUUCUUCAAUAGCCUUUUCUAUAUGUACAAUCUGUUUAAUCUAGAGAAUCUGGUCAUUGUAGGGAUUUGCAAGUGGUAGUUUGGAUGCAGAUGCCCAGUCUGUUCGAAUGUUUGUUGCAGAUGGUGGUGAAUGCCUUGCAGCUCAGAGUUAUGCAAAAAACAUGGGACUCUAUGGGGAACGUGUUGGUGCCCUUAGCAUUGUAAGAUAAUAACAUUAUUUAUCUGAUUUCCACUGCUUAGUAGUUAUCUAAGACUCAAUUUUUACCAUGUAUGAAUUAGUAGAUACUCAAAGUUUGAUUGAAAAUGAUUUUUGACUUGCAAGAGAAAUUUGAUAGCAGAAAGCUUGUGAAAAAAACUCAUCUCUCCUUACGUAUAUCUUCAGUUGCCUUCAAACUCUAAUCAGAUGAAAACCUACAUGUUCACCUUUGUAGAUUUUAAUUUUUCAGUUAGGUUAAUAUUGGAAACAGGAUAGGACAGUCUUUUAAUUGUAUUAAGCAGCCAUUUAUUCUGGGUGUGGAAAGUAAUGCAGACAUCCCCUGUGGUGGUCGGUGCUAUUUUAGAAACUACAGCUGAUGUUGAAAUAAAAAUGACACCCAGAAAUAAUUGGAAAGAAGAGGGAAAAAACCACUGGGGAAGAGCUAAUGAAUGGCAUUUCUAAGGCCAGCGGAAGCUCCACCUAAAUCAUUCUUCUAUAAAUAUAUUGCCUGAUUAAACUUUGGUUUUACAGGUCUGCAAGGCAGCAGACGUGGCAAGCAGGGUUGAGAGCCAGCUGAAACUUGUGAUCAGGCCCAUGUAUUCCAAUCCCCCUAUUCAUGGUGCAUCUAUUGUGGCUACAAUCCUCAAGGACAGGUAUAAAUUUGUUCAACCUUAGAGUUUAUGUAAUAUGAAUCCAACAUGAAGUUGUACUGAAAUUCCACUAUAGAUGGAUGUCAGAGUAAAGACUACAAACUGAAAGUAAGGGUUUCUCAUACUGUAUGCAAUUGAAAGAAAGCAGAAUCAGAAUAUAGUUAAUUUAGGAGAAUGUACUGGAUUACUUUGAGUCAGUAAGCUGGUGUAUAAUUUUUAUGAUUUCUUGGAUCUCCAUAUCUAGAAUAAGUACUCAGAUAUUAUGGUUUUUGAAAGAAGAUUUUGUUUUUUAUGGACCCUGUAUCUUUAAGUCCUGGUCCUAGGUUUGAUUAUAUUUUCCUGCAGUGAUAUGUAUAAUGAAUGGACUCUGGAGCUAAAAGCAAUGGCGGACCGGAUUAUCAGCAUGCGUCAACUACUGUUUGAUACUUUACGUGAUAGAGGUAAGCCAGUCUAGAAUCAUCUUCAGCUUGGUUAUCUUCUUCAUGUUGCUUUCUUAUCCUUUGCUAUAUUUUUCCUACACACAAUUAGUGUUGUGGGUUUGAGUUCCAGUCAACCCCAAUCUUAUUGCAUAAUUUGCAUUAUUUGGCAAAACCGUGUUCAUAAGUCCACUGCCUUUUUAUUGCAUUAUUUGGCAAAGCCAUGUUCAUAAGCUUUAGUGUCAAGUAGGAGUUUCUUUUUUGGGGUUGCAAUAGGGAUUUCUUUUUUCUCUUGCGUCUCAGUGUCUCAGUUUCUUUUGUGGCAGUUUGUUGUUAGGGUGGUGGGUUUUUCUUCUCUUUUCUCCUGCUUGCUGAUCGGCCCUAUUUGUAUGCUUCGAGUGUACUUUGUUGUGCUUUUAAUAUAUCUUGCUUAUUUACCUAUCAAAAAAAAAAAGAAAAAAAAAAGCUUUGUCUUCUUGUUGCAUUAUUUGGCAAAGCCAUGUUCAUAAACUUUAUGCCUUCUUUCCAUUUUCUUCCCUUCCUCUCAUUCAGAUAUCUAUAACCUCUGACUGCUAACAAACUUGGUAGAAUGCCUUUUCCCUGCAGAGGGAGUAUGAGUUCUAGUGAAUAAAUUAUACUUUUUCAGUUGCACAUGACUGCAAAGUUCUCCAUUCCUUAUAUUUCUAUGUUAGUGAAGUUGACUAUUUUUUGUACCUCC
rnacentral:lncRNA from 1 species